AUGAUGAUAUUCAAACACUGUUA
rnacentral:piRNA from 1 species